ACAUGACGUGUGGCUGUCGUAAAAACCCUAUUUGUAAACAACCAGUCCUUUAACUCGGGGCUGCGUCAUAAACACGGCGCGCUUGGAAGACCACGAUGUCAUCUUCCUUCUGUCAGGAGGAUCCAAGUGAAGCUACAGGAGUUUCAUUAACGUCAACAACUUGGACCAAACAGUUUGUUUUGCUUGAUGAAGAGCAGGAAGGGCAGCCUGGAGAGAAAGAGAAGCCGGGUUGAGCCCACUACCAUCAUCCACGUACCACGAGGAAGAUGAGGGAGAGAAAUGAUCCUACCAUUAAAGAGACUGUGAAAAGAACGUUGAGAACAUCACCACUCUACAGGAAGACACAGUCCAGUAAUGGGUGUCAGAAGUUCAGUAGUGAACGACAGAAACAAACAAUCCAAAUUACCUGCAGAAAGCCCUUGAUGGACGCUUCAGCUGCAUCGUCAGACUGGCAGUUCUGAUGCAUUUACUGAGAGGGGACGUGAGGGCCUACUCUGCGUGCUCAGAGUUCAAGCCCAGCAGGCUGCAGCGGGCCUGACAUAUUCUGGAACAGCAGCACAGUCUUUGGAUGACUCCUCUGAAGAUGAAAACAUGGCGAGUUCUUCUCAAGAGAAGCAGUACAGGUGUGCCUCAGCUCCACGGUCCCUCCUGCAGCCUCCGCUCCUGAUGCUAACCUCAUGUCUCCAUCACACCAAGCAGCAGACCUGGAUUGACAGACCUUUCUCCAGAGCUGCCCCCUCCCUCUGAAACCCCCCUCUCCAAAACACUAUUUGUGUAGUUUUUAAAGUAUUUUUUGCAUGAGAAUUGUUGAUCAUAACAUUUCCAGCAGAUGCCUUAAUAUAAUGUUU